GGGACUAUAGUUCAACGGGAGAACACGCGACUGAAGCUCGCGAUGCCUGGGUUCGACUCCCAGUAGUCCCA
rnacentral:tRNA from 1 species